UCGGCGCGAGUGGAAGUGUGGUCUCGCGCGCGUUGAGUUCGCGUUGUUGGCGCGAAAAAAAAAGUUCUUAGUUUGCUGGAAAUGUGCGUGCUUCGUCGUUGGAGGAAGUUUUUGGAGUGAAUGCAGCGUGUUUACUUUAAGUUUAGAGCAACACAUUUAGUGUUUGGAAAAGAGAAAUUGCGACGUAGUGAGUCCUUGGAGAACACCUGGGAAGAUUGCAAGAAAGGGGGAAAAACGCAGGUGUAAUUAAACUGUCAGAUUCUAACGAAACAGCGGAGAAAAAAGCAACGAGUGUGUUUAAGUGUGUCCAGAAAGGACAGUAAAACAAACGUAAUUCAAGACCUCCUUUUGAACAAGGAGCAAACGAAAUAAAAAAGGAAAAGUGCCGAAAGGAGAACGAAAGGAACCGUUGAUGAAUCGUUUAUAGCUGCGUUGAAGAGCGAGAAAGAUAUCGCCAGCAAGUGUUCAGAGUUCCAGCUGGUAACACCUUCUAGUUCCGUUUAGAAAACACACAAAGAAAAACCAUGGAGGACGAUUCGCUGAAGAAGGACUGGAAGGACUCCAAGGAUGGAGGUGCGAACGGGAAGGAAGGUGGAGGUGGUGGCGGCGAUGGAGAGAUUGUCCUCAAGCCAAAGAUGACCCUGGUCAAUGGAAUCACCGUGAUUGUGGGUUCCAUCAUCGGGUCCGGAAUCUUCGUGUCCCCAACCGGAGUGUUGCUCAACACCGGCAGUGUCAACAUGUCGCUGAUCGUGUGGAUCAUCUCGGGCCUGUUCUCGAUGGUCGGCGCGUACUGCUACGCCGAGUUGGGCACGAUGAUCAAAAAGUCCGGUGCCGAUUACGCGUACAUCAUGGAGACGUUCGGCCCGUUCAUGGCGUUCAUUCGGCUGUGGAUCGAGUGUAUGAUCGUGCGGCCGUGCUCGCAAGCGAUCGUGGCCCUCACGUUCAGCGUGUACGUCCUGAAGCCGUUCUUCCCGGACUGCCAACCGCCGGACGAUGCCGCCCGGAUGCUGGCCGUCUGCUGUAUCUUGGUGCUCACGUUCAUCAACUGUUGGGACGUGAAGUGGGCAACGGCCGUCCAGGACGUCUUCACCUACGCCAAACUGUUGGCCCUGUUCGUCAUCAUCGGCACCGGCGCGUACUUCCUGUUCAAGGGACACACCGAGCACUUUACGUUCGAGAACACUAAAACCGAGGUCACAUCGCUGGCGCUGUCAUUCUACUCCGGCCUGUUCGCCUACAACGGAUGGAACUACUUGAACUUUAUCAUCGAGGAGCUGAAGGAUCCGGUCAAGAAUCUGCCGCGUGCCAUCGCAAUUUCCUGCACCCUCGUCACCGUGGUGUACGUGUUCACCAACGUGUCCUUCUACACGAUGCUGUCGCCGGAGGAGGUGCUCGGGUCGGAGGCCGUGGCCGUGACCUACGCGGAUCGGGUGUUUGGCAUGUUCGCGUGGACCAUUCCGGUUUUCGUGGCCCUGUCGACCUUCGGCGCCGUCAACGGCAUCCUGCUGACGUCAUCGCGCCUGUUCUACGCCGGCGCCUGCGAGGGCCAAAUGCCGGAGAUUCUCACCAUGAUCCAGAUCCAGCGGCUCACCCCGACGCCGGCCGUCCUCAUCAUGGCGCUGCUGUCGAUGCUGUACCUCACCUCGUCGGACAUCUUUGCGCUGAUCAACUACGUCGGAUUCGCCACCUGGCUGAGUAUCGGCGCGGCCGUCCUGUGUCUGCCCUGGCUGCGGUGGAAGCAGCCGAACCUGCCCCGCCCGAUCAAGGUGAACAUCUUCUUCCCGAUCUUCUACCUGCUGGCCACGAUCUUCGUCGUGGUUGUCCCGAUGAUCGCCAGCCCCAAGGAGACCGGCUACGGGUGCCUCAUGAUCCUUUCCAGUAUUCCCGUCUACUUCAUCUUUAUCGCGUGGAGAAACAAACCAAAGUGGUUCAACCACACCAUGGGCGGAUUCACUCAAAGCUUACAAAAGUUGAUGAUGGUGGUGCGGCCAAAGCAGAAGUAAAUCCGCCCAACCUUUUGAGGUCUUUGAAGGGGGCCAAGGCAAGGGGAGGCCCAAAGGUGGAAAAGUGGGCCUCACCCGAUUCCUGCAGAAGAUGCUUCUGGUCGUCGGCAAGGCCAAACCAGCUCAGGUUUAGAGAAAAGAAAAGUAAUUCAGAAGUUUAAACUAGAUCACCCAACAAUCAUCAGACGAGCAUCGCUCUCCCCCCGCAAGCAUGCACAUUACUAAUCGAAAGCAUUCAUUAGAAGAAGGAAGAAAAAAACUAUUGAACAUAACCGAAUAGUGCGCAUUUACAGCAUCAACAUGCCAAAAUCAUUCUCUCAGCGACAACGAGGAAGCUAUUUAUGAUAGUGUUUUUAAACGCAACGCUGUUUUGUUUAAGUGCAUUUUGCUAGGAUUUUAAAAAAAUUCUUUGUAUUUUUGUUAAUUUUAGACUGUCUGACAUUCCACGUGGUAGUAUUUGUUAGUGAUCCGUAAGCAAGCGAUUGUUUUUUUUUUAAUAAUGUGUACUAUUAGAUUAUUUUCGGCAUGAAAAAAUAUGUUCCUGUUAAAUUUUAAAUCACUCGUUUUAUUAUAAUUUUUCGCGUGCAACGCACAUGUUUAACUCCAGUCUCAGAUUAAAAUGACAUGAAGGUGGAGAAUUAUUGCAACAGAAACCAAUUUAACAAAAUUGUAAGGGGACUACUUCAAAAAACAACUUUAGUCAUUCCCAAUGUUUACUGGUGUUAAUUUUUGAUGGGAUCGUUGAAACGAAGUUGGUUGCAUAUAGGAGAGAACAUAUCAGAAAAAAUGGAAACAGAAUCUCUAAUGUAUUAAUUAGCUCCAUAUCGAAAGCAAAAGGCAUUUGUUUGAACAUUAGCCUGUCCCAUUUUGAGGUCAUGUCGAGGAAUUUCAGGUGCUCACUUCUUAAAUGAUAGAUUAUGAUGUUAGGAACAAUGUUUUCUUAGACAAGAAAAAAUAAUAAAAUACUUUCUCGCACCCCCUAGUCAAUUUACUAAAAAAAGUCACUUUUUUGAACAAAUUUUCUAAAAUCGCUUGGAAUCAAUACAAAAACUGCUUCGAUCAGGUGUGUAUUAUCUUCAAACGAUAGGUUUUUGUCCAUAGAUUAAGAUGCACUAUCAAUAUUGGACCAAAAUUUAAGUUUUUGGACUCUCCCAGGCGGAUUUGUGUCGAAAAAAUCGCAUUUUUUCGAAACUUUUUUCAGAAAUGUUCAUUUAAUUUAGGGUAGCCUAUUUUUCCCAGUGAAACCAAUGCAUGCAGCUUGUAGGAAAUUUCAUGGCGAACAUUUUUCCUUCUGAGAAAAUCCAAUUUCGACACUCCAAAGCCGAGAUAUUUGUGUUUUAGUGAGGAAAAAAGAGGCAAUUUUCAAAAUUUCUCAAAAUUCAGAAGCAAGGCCUACUAAUUACACGAUGUAGCAAGCAUAUGUCUCAAAGGUCAGGGUAUGCUUUUUUAUAGUAAUUUUGGCCGCUGAAUCCGAAUCUGAAAUCAAAUUUCGUGUAAACAGUGAUGUUUUGGAGCUACACCCUUUUGGAAUGUUAUUUGCGUGUUUAAGAGGCAGUUUUUGUAAAUAUUGCUCGGUUUGUUCUAGAGGUCGUAUCGAGGUGCUCCGAUUUGGAUGAAACUUUCAGCGUUUGUUUGUCUAUACAUGAGAUGAACUCAUGCCAAAUAUGAGCCUCUACGACAAAGGGAAGUGGGGUAAAGACGGGCAUUGAAGUUUGAAUUUUCCGAGGAUUUCGAAUAUGCUAUGGGACAAUAACUAACGUUGUAAAAUGUUUGUUCUAGAAAAAUCGAAAAACUAUGAGGAAAACUGCGAUUGGCCAAAAAGUUAUUACCGUAGGCUUAUAGUCCAUGAAAUUCCCUAACUUUUGAACUAAAAGAGUAUGGGUGUUGCUGACUGUUGCAAAAAGAUAUUGAGGUUUAAAAAAAACCAUUUCUAACAGUAAUUUGCAAAAGCUAUGAGAAAAUGUUAAACCAAUCCUGGAUGUCUAUGGCUCAUUCAUUUUGAAGUGCUUCAAAAGACCUUUCGAAUGCAUCAAAGAGAGUUGGAAUUGAUGAAGUUUUUUUGUGUGUGUCCAAUACCCGCUAACCGGUAGCGAUAUUAUGGGAAAGUAUAAUUUGCAUCAGACUUUGUAUAUGCCGAAUGCUGAUACAACUUAUCUCAGUCCCGGGUAUUAGGUGGUGAUAGCCCUCACGCUGCUUCCAACGACCCGUUUCAGAAUGACAGAGCUCCUUGCGGUCCAAUUCCGAGGUCGCUGGGCAUUGUUUGGCCCCGCCUAAACAUAGAAGCAAGCAUCUGAAGGAAACUCGAUCUAUAUUUAGACUUCCAAUCCCGUCAGGCAAAUCAGGGAUCAGCGCGUAUUUAUUAUGAUAAGGUAACAUGUUUCAACACUACGGAUCAUUUCACUGCUAGAGUGUAAAACCUUUUGAUGGCCGACUGCUUAGCGUCCCAGACCACCAAUCCAAAGGCGUGAGUUCGAAUCCCACCUGAUUCAUUUUCGUUUUUGUUCAUAUUCAAAGUUCAAAUUUCUGAUUCAAAAUUUUAAAGGUACCGACCGGGAUUUGAUCCCUGAACCUUCUGCUUGUAAGGCAGAAGCCGUAACCAUUAAGCCACGGAGCCGGUGAGUUGGAAUUGAUGAAGUUUUACUAAAAUGCGAGCAAUUAUAAGAUUUUUUAUGUUUUUUGGACCUCGAACUUCAAUGCCCGUUUUACCCCACUUCCCUUUGUCGUAGAGGCUCAUAUUUGGCAUAUUUGGUAUAGACAAACAAACGCUGAAAGUUUCAUCCAAAUCGGAGCACCUCGAUACGACCUCUAGAACAAACCGAGCAAUAUUUACAAAAACUGCCUCUUAAACACGCAAAUAACAUUCCAAAAGGGUGUAGCUCCAAAACAUCACUGUUUACACGAAAUUUGAUUUCAGAUUCGGAUUCAGCGGCCAAAAUUACUAUAAAAAAGCAUACCCUGACCUUUGAGACAUAUGCUUGCUACAUCGUGUAAUUAGUAGGCCUUGCUUCUGAAUUUUGAGAAAUUUUGAAAAUUGCCUCUUUUUUCCUCACUAAAACACAAAUAUCUCGGCUCUGGAGUGUCGAAAUUGGAUUUUCUCAGAAGGAAAAAUGUUCGCCAUGAAAUUUCCUACAAGCUGCAUGCAUUGGUUUCACUGGGAAAAAUAGGCUACCCUAAAUUAAAUGAACAUUUCUGAAAAAAGUUUCGAAAAAAUGCGAUUUUUUCGACACAAAUCCGCCUGGGAGAGUCCAAAAACUUAAAUUUUGGUCCAAUAUUGAUAGUGCAUCUUAAUCUAUGGACAAAAACCUAUCGUUUGAAGAUAAUACACACCUGAUCGAAGCAGUUUUUGUAUUGAUUCCAAGCGAUUUUAGAAAAUUUGUUCAAAAAAGUGACUUUUUUUAGUAAAUUGACUAGGGGGUGCGAGAAAGUAUUUUAUUAUUUUUUCUUGUCUAAGAAAACAUUGUUCCUAACAUCAUAAUCUAUCAUUUAAGAAGUGAGCACCUGAAAUUCCUCGACAUGACCUCAAAAUGGGACAGGCUAUUGAACAUGGUUUUAUUUGUUAUUGAAAUCCAGUUAUCCUAAUCAUAUUAUUCCUCACAAUUAAAACUAAUAAAUUUAUUAUAAGCAGCGUUCCAGGAAACGGGCUGCUCGCUUUCUAAUUCUAAAGCAACGCGUUCAAAUUAUAAAUAUGUAAUCGAAUCAAAUUUUAAUCGGUAAAAAGCAUAACAAAUCAAGUGUUUUAAAUGUGUUUCAUUCGAUGUCCCAGAUUGGAAAGCGUUAGACUGUUGACGAGUUGAAAGAUAAACAAUAAAACACCCAAGUAUUGCAAAAGCACAGAGAAAAAACGGUAAGGAUAAAUUGUUGACAAUAAUAUAAAGUUUAGUGUGUAGGCUGAGAGAAAAAUCUGAAAGCAAAGCGAUACAAGGUUUUUAAACAAAACAAUAAGCCACAUUUAAGCACUGCAUUAUACACCCACAUGUACCCCUCCCAUAAUAAGCUCAUGUAUAAAAAGAAAAUAACACAAAUGACAAACAUUCCACAUGUUCAAAUUGCCAAAACCGAAACAUAUUAAAUGUGAUCAUUGCCGUGACCGUGUUAGGUGUAAAUAAACUCAUGCAACUAAAGUCCUGAAAAAAUAUACAGAAUCACAAAAGUAACAAAAAAGAAAAAUCCUUUACCAAGCGCCAUUUACCGGGAAAAAAGAAAUCCACAAAAUAGUCAAAUUUUAAGCCACGAAGAGCAGCUUCAGCUUGCGUUAAAGUCUGAACCAGAAGUUAGCUAACAAGCGGCAGGUCGACAGAGAAUUUUGCAGUGAGAAGCAGAAGAAAAUUGUGUGAGUACACGACACUAGCAAAAGGGCUGAGCUGCAUUCAGCUAACGAGAGUGACACUAUAGCGUACUAGGAAACAGUAAAUAUAGAAAUGUAUUAUUGCAAAUGGAA